GUAACGCGUAUGCAACUUACCUCUAACUGGGGCAUAGUCUUGUGAAAACGAGAAUAAUUCCCCAUAGUACCAUGAAAUGGCAUCAUUUUAUGGUUAAAGAUUUAUCGGUUAGAGAUAGGCAUGCGUCCCAUUAGAUAGUUGGUGAGGUAACGGCUCACCAAGUCAACGAUGGGUAGGGGGCCUGAGAGGGUUAUCCCCCACACUGGUACUGAGACACGGACCAGACUCC
rnacentral:rRNA from 1 species